GCCUCGUUUCCAGGGAGUUGUAAAUACGACUGUCAACACCGAGGCGGCCAUGAUACUCAGAGAGGAAAUAAAGGCGCUAUUGCAGAAAAGAGCAAUACGAGUGGUCCCCGCUUCGGAGACAGACAAAGGAGAGGUCACCGUGUUCCUGAGGAAAUGAAAGCUGUUUGCAUUAGAUGUCAGUGCUACAGUUGUACCCUCAGGCCAUCUGAGUACAUAGAGCCAUAAACGUACGUGCGUGUGUACACACAGACACACACAAAAAGCAAGACGGCUAGCACACCAGCAAGAGCAUGAAUUUGUGGCACCCUCCUGAAAAUAUUGCAUGUUAAGGGUUGCGGGAGGGGGGCAGGAGUCUACCCCAGCUGGCAUAGGGCGAGAGGCAGGGUACACCUCGGAUAGGUCGCCAGUCUAUCACCGGGCCAACUCAGAGGGACAGGCAACCAUUCGCACUCAGAUUCACAACUAUGGCCAUCAUAUCCUCCAAUUAACUUCAAGCCAGGAUAUCCUACCUUUGGGUGUGUACAUGCCCUGCUGCAUGGAUCCUCCAGGCUCAAACACAGGUGCUUUGAAGUCGGCUACAGCAGAGAGCAUAUCCUCAAAACUACAGCUACCGGGUACAAUGCCACUCUUUGGGUUGGGAUUUUCAGGAAUCUACGAAAACUCUCUUAAGGAAAAAUAAAACAUAUAUAAAUACAAA